AGGGGCCGCGCCCGGCGCGACCCCACGGGGGGGAUCCCGCGCCGGCGGCGACACGAGAGGAGCCACCUGCCGAGAGCCCCCGGCGAAGAAGUACUGCCUUCCCUGGACAAGACAGGACUGCGCUCAAGUGCAUCCCAGUGACUUCGGAAAGGUUACCUCCCAAAAUAUAAAUCUUUGGAGGAUCUGCCUCACAGUCCCCAGCUCUGGCAUCCCUGCUGGCAGCGGCCAUGGUGCCUGGAAAGGGGAGAAGAGCCACCAGCCUGGGGUGCACCUCACACUCCAGCCCUCCCCACCGCUUCCCAGUGCAGCCCCCACCAGGGACUCCUCCAAAGGAUGAUGGAAAACAAUAACAUUGGUAAUAGCUGAUCUGGAUGCGCCUCAAAUAUCUGCCCCAUGAUACAAAUGCUUGUGGUUAUCCCACGAACCAUCCUCCCGACAAAUGUUUUGAAUUAUGGGUUUCCAGGAACGAGAUGUC
rnacentral:lncRNA from 1 species